AUUGAACGCUGGCGGCAUGCCUUACACAUGCAAGUCGAACGGCAGCACGGGAGCAAUCCUGGUGGCGAGUGGCGAACGGGUGAGUAAUAUAUCGGAACGUGCCCAAUCGUGGGGGAUAACGUAGCGAAAGACUACGCUAAUACCGCAUACGAUCUAUGGAUGAAAGCGGGGGAGUCGCAAGACCUCGCGCGAUUGGAGCGGCCGAUAUCAGAUUAGGUAGUUGGUGGGGUAAAGACCUACCAAGCCUUCGAUCUGUAGCUGGUCUGAGAGGACGACCAGCCACACUGGAACUGAGACACGGUCCAGACUCCUACGGGAGGCAGCAGUGGGGGAAUUUUGGACAAUGGGCGCAAGCCUGAUCCAGCAAUGCCGCGUGCAGGAUGAAGGGCCCUUCGGGUUGUAACUAGCUUUUGUUACGGAACGAAACGGUUACGUUUCUAAUUAAAAGAAGGGGACUAAUAGACGGUACCGUAAGAAUAAG
rnacentral:rRNA from 1 species